rnacentral:rRNA from 1 species
UGGGGGAAUUUUGGACAAUGGGCGCAAGCCUGAUCCAGCAAUGCCGCGUGCAGGAUGAAGGCCUUCGGGUUGUAAACUGCUUUUGUACGGAACGAAAAGGCUCUGGCUAAUACCUGGGGCACAUGACGGUACCGUAAGAAUAAGCACCGGCUAACUACGUGCCAGCAGCCGCGGUAAUACGUAGGGUGCGAGCGUUAAUCGGAAUUACUGGGCGUAAAGCGUGCGCAGGGCGGUUUUGUAAGACAGAGGUGAAAAUCCCCCGGGCUCAACCUGGGAACUGCCUUUGUGACUGCAAGGCUGGAGUGCGGCAGAGGGGGGAUGGAAUUCCGCGUGUAGCAGUGAAAUGCGUAGAUAUGCGGAGGAACACCGAUGGCGAAGGCAAUCCCCCUGGGGCCUGCACUGACGCUCAUGCACGAAAGCGUGGGGGAGCAAACAGGAUUUAGAUACCCCUGGUAGUCCACGCCCUAAAGCGAAUGUCAACUGGCUUGUUGGGUCUUAAUUGACUCAGUAAACGAAGCUAACGCGU